rnacentral:rRNA from 1 species
GACGAACGCUGGCGGCAUGCUUUACACAUGCAAGUCGAACGGCAGCACGGACUUCGGUCUGGUGGCGAGUGGUGAACGGGUGAGUAACAUAUCGGAACGUACCCAGUAAUGGGGGAUAACUAAGCGAAAGCUUAGCUAAUACCGCAUACGCCCUGAGGGGGAAAGCGGGGGAUCGAAAGACCUCGCGUUAUUGGAGCGGCCGAUAUCUGAUUAGCUAGUUGGUGGGGUAAAGGCCCACCAAGGCGACGAUCAGUAGCUGGUCUGAGAGGAUGAUCAGCCACACUGGAACUGAGACACGGUCCAGACUCCUACGGGAGGCAGCAGUGGGGAAUUUUGGACAAUGGGGGCAACCCUGAUCCAGCCAUUCCGCGUGAGUGAAGAAGGCCUUCGGGUUGUAAAGCUCUUUCGGCAGGGAAGAAACGCUCUGGGUUAAUAACCUGGGGUAAUGACGGUACCUGAAGAAGAAGCACCGGCUAACUACGUGCCAGCAGCCGCAGUAAGAC